rnacentral:rRNA from 1 species
ACUCCUACGGGAGGCAGCAGUGGGGAAUAUUGCACAAUGGGCGCAAGCCUGAUGCAGCCAUGCCGCGUGUGUGAAGAAGGCCUUCGGGUUGUAAAGCACUUUCAGUCGUGAGGAAGGUGGUAGUGUUAAUAGCACUAUCAUUUGUACGUUAGCGACAGAAGAAGCACCGGCUAACUCCGUGCCAGCAGCCGCGGUAAGUACGGAGGGUGCGAGCGUUAAUCGGAAUUACUGGGCGUAAAGCGCAUGCAGGUGGUUUGUUAAGUCAGAUGUGAAAGCCCGGGGCUCAACCUCGGAAUAGCAUUUGAAACUGGCAGACUAGAGUACUGUAGAGGGGGUAGAAUUUCAGGUGUAGCGGUGAAAUGCGUAGAGAUCUGAAGGAAUACCGGUGGCGAAGGCGGCCCCUGGACAGAUACUGACACUCAGAUGCGAAAGCGUGGGAGCAAACGAGGAUUAGAUACCCCGUGGUAGGACA